AUUGCUUUUGAGUUACGAUAACCUUUUCAGAGCCAUUACAGAGAAGGAGAUGCAGCUAAGAACCAGGCAAAACUGUUAGAUGAGAUCCUUCAAAGGGGUAGUCACUGAGUGAAGCCAAGGAUGAAUGGUCCGAACGUACGUGAUCCCCCUCCUUCCAGCAUACUGCCUUACUUUGAGAGACCCAACAACCAUCAAGAUGGAUUGGCGAUUAUCAUAACGACAGUAUUAAUACACAUUAUAAUUAAGCAACAUCAUUUUUAUAAAAUUAUUUAAAAAAAAUAAUAAUUGUAGUGAAAAAUGGGUGUCAUUAGAAAUGAAACAAACGAUGUAUGUAAUGAUGUCAUAACGUCCCAACGUUUAAUUAAUAUCUUUCAUUAUCAUAUUACUGUUGUUAUGAUCAAAACCUGUUUGAUUUUUACUAAAGCACUCUGGCUAUGUGUUUUACUGCUCUAAACCAAUCGUAUCGAACUACUGAAAGUUCCACUGAAUGUCAGUCUGCUUGACCAGAAGCUUUCUGAGGGUCUGCAACAAAAAAUAUAGAAAACCGGUUAGGUUGUGAGAUUACAUUGCAAUGAAUGCUGUUGUUCUAUGUUAUCUAUGCAUACGGGCUAUGUAUUGUAUUGAAGCCUUCCAUAAACAAACUGUAUCGUUGGCUCCACU